rnacentral:sRNA from 1 species
AAAAUAUCCAUUAUGGAAAAUACAGACUAGUAUAAUGAAAAAGUCUUAAACUCAUCUACCCUUUGGUAACUACGGUUGAUAUUCUGGCAUAUUUCCAUCCAGUCUUUGUUCUGUAUAUAAAUAUGGUUUUGCUGGAUCAAUGCUACAUCUCAGACGUUUCCCCAUGUCCUUAAAAUCCUUCAUAUGCCUUUUCAUAUGCUAUAAUAAUAAUCCGUUAUAUGGGAUGCCUGACAUUUAGAUUUUUUUCAAUGUUUUACUACUGUAAAUAUCAGUGCUAUGAACAUUUUUGUGGAUUAAUUAACCACAUUUCAGAUUUUUUUUAGGAUAGUUUUAAAAAAUGGAAAUACCAGGUCAAGGGCAUGCAUAUUUUUAAGGCUCUUGAUCACAGGCUCCCAGUUCUGAAGCUUUGAGAUCCCUUAAUAAAGACUUUAUAGUCCAUUUAGCAGAACUUCAUCUACCUGGAAUGAACAAGAAUGAACGCCAGCCUCAUUUCAUGGGUUUUGGUUCUCCACAGGAUCUGCCUCGGUCUGUCAGACAUUCCUAAGGAAAAUUGUAUAAUAACUAUUUCGGGAAUGCAGUUAUCUCAUCAUGGUCAGUCUUUGGGGAAGUGGGCUGAGAAAUUACAUGUGUUCUAUUCUCUAUUUUCAUUCCUAUUGUGACCUUCACACUGACUCAAAACCUUCCUUUUAGAUACUUCUGGAUAUAAAAAUAUAUGUUAAUUUUAGGGUUUCACACUCCUGAGUGAAAGGCAGUGUCAUCAAGUACGUGAAUGCCCAGCUCCUAAAUGACUUUCUCAUUCUCCUCCCACCCAGUCACGUCCUCCAGGCAGUGACCUUCCUUUAUUUCACAUUCCGCUUACUUCCUUGACCCCUCAGCAUUUCAGACCUGAAAGGACACUGGUACUGUUGUCCUUGUCGGGGCCUGUGGCUUUGCCUCUCAUUCCCUGGUGAAUGUCAGGAAAUAGAGGGCUGAGACUAAUUUUUAUAGGUUCUCAAUUUUUCUCGCUUGGGGACAAGCUGUUGACUUAGCUCUGAAUAGGAGUAAUAAGGAGGCAGUGGGCCAGGCUGCAUGACAACUGGUUUUCAGGCCCGUAUAAAAAAGUACUAACUUUAUUAUCUCAAGCCAUGCGUGGCCUAUUGCAAAGCCCAGUGUGGGUGUCUUGGGGCUUGUAUUUGAGAUUGGAGCUUCUCUGACCUCCAGUACCCUUUCCUCAGGGGCCACAGUGUGUGUCACAUGAAUGGCAAGGUGAGGUGAGGCUUGGGGGAGCUCCUGGUGCUGUGUCACACCACCUUACCUGUGUGCAUUACUCUGUGCUUGUUCUUUUGCAUACAUCUGCUGAUUUGAACCUCACGGCUCUGACUUAAGGAGCAGGUUUUAUGCUGGGGGCUCAGAGAGAAGUGGACAGCAGAUUGUUGGCCCUCCCAGGAAGAAAAGUCCCAACGAGCUGGUGGAUGAUCUCUUUAAAGGUGCCAAAGAGCAUGGAGCUGUAGCUGUGGAGCGAGUGACCAAGAGCCCUGGAGAGACCAGUAAACCGAGACCAUUUGCAGGAGGUGGCUACCGCCUUGGGGCAGCACCAGAGGAAGAGUCUGCCUAUGUGGCAGGAGAAAAGAGGCAGCAUUCCAGCCAAGAUGUUCAUGUAGUAUUGAAACUCUGGAAGAGUGGAUUCAGCCUGGAUAAUGGAGAACUCAGAAGCUACCAAGACCCAUCCAAUGCCCAGUUUCUGGAGUCUAUCCGCAGAGGGGAGGUGCCAGCAGAGCUUCGGAGGCUAGCUCACGGUGGACAGGUGAACUUGGAUAUGGAGGACCAUCGGGACGAGGACUUUGUGAAGCCCAAAGGAGCCUUCAAAGCCUUCACUGGCGAGGGUCAGAAACUGGGCAGCACUGCCCCCCAGGUGUUGAGUACCAGCUCUCCAGCCCAACAGGCAGAAAAUGAAGCCAAAGCCAGCUCUUCCAUCUUAAUCGACGAAUCAGAGCCCACCACAAACAUCCAAAUUCGGCUUGCAGACGGCGGGAGGCUGGUGCAGAAAUUUAACCACAGCCACAGGAUCAGCGACAUCCGACUCUUCAUCGUGGAUGCCCGGCCAGCCAUGGCUGCCACCAGCUUUAUCCUCAUGACUACUUUCCCGAACAAAGAGCUGGCUGAUGAGAGCCAGACCCUGAAGGAAGCCAACCUGCUCAAUGCUGUCAUCGUGCAGCGGUUAACAUAACCGCCCAGCCAGCUGCCUGGCCUCCCUCCUGUGUUUCCCAUGGCCAGUGGCCAUGCCCCAUGGGGAUCGCCCCUCCUGCCCCCUUGUGCGCACCCAGCAGUCCAGUGCAACGUCUCCUCCAUAGCUCUGGGUUCUUAGAUCUUGGUUGGACGUUUGUUUUCUCCUUAGUUGCAUUUCCUGGGUUUUUGUGACGAUCAAUGGACUUUAAUGAAAAAAAAAAUAAAAACAACCAAAAAAAUUGAAGGAAUAUCACCAGCAUGUUGUACGGAAACUCUCCCACUGAAGCAGGCUUUAAUUGCUUUAAAAUUAUAUUUAUCUUGGGGCCUGUGGGAGGAAACUUCCUUCCAUCUUCUCUGCAUAAAAACUUGUGGCACACAAUGCUUAUUCACUAAUGUGUCCCACCCGCCAGCCCCACAGAUGACUGGAGGAAGGAGGGGAAAUGUGUAGAAAGAGGCUUCGCCACCACUUGUUCCCACGAGAAUAUAUCACUUGCCCAGAUAAAACUGGGCGGCAGCCAGAGUUCCCUAAAGUGGGAAGUCGAGCUAUAUGCACACAGUGUCUUCAGAAGGUGAAAAUAAAUAUUUCCCUGUGCUCCUUUUACUCAACCCCUGGGAUAUCUAAUCUUGCCAGGCCUUGGCCAGUUGAGAUUCUGUUCCACCUGCCUGCCUGGCCCUUUCCUCCAUUACCAUCCAGACUGCUCGCCUCCUGGGGAUUCUCAUGGGCUCCAUUAUGGCUUGAUUUACUCCACGUGCAGAAGUCUUGAGUGGACCUAGGAGGUAGGUGGGAUAUUUUUUUUCACUAGGAUACAGCUCAUGCCAACCCAUCCUAAGUGAGUUCAGAAUCAGGGUAUCUUGCCCUAAAAGAUAAACAGUCAAAAUGCCACCGAGCUGUUCACUAGUGAUGUGUGGCAAAUCAAAUCAACUGUUGAAGAAGGGGUGAGUUUCCCGUGCUACAAGCACCUGUCACUGUUGGUACUUGCAGGAGGCUUCUGCUGGGUAUGUUUUGGAAGUGAGUGUCACUACUUGGCUUUGCUUAGCAGGUUCUGCUUCACACUUGUUCUUUGACCUGCUGACUUGUGACUUGCAGAAACAUAGGCAGUAGUCCUAGCCUGGUAAAGACCCUCCACCACCCCUCUAAGUUUGAUUGCUAUGCAGGUUUGGGAGAGGAGGCCUAUCGGGCUCUUGGAUGGAACCCUUUCCCGUAUUAAACAAACCAGAGACAGAAUCAGUGCUGACUCAGGAUCUCCUGGUUUGGAAUCGUAAUGUGCCUCGAUCCUCUUUCCAAGCAGGCCUCACCAGUCUCUUUCUCCUUCCUGCUUCACCCCUGCAAUGAGCCAAGAACCAACACUACAUCCACCUAGAACUGCAGAAGGGCUUGUGGUUUCAACCAAGACCCAUCCUGAGCAAGGGACUUGGCUCGGUGCUUUUGAUCCCAAAGUUCCCACACCGGCAGUGGCCUGCUGGGGCAAUGGCAUCUGUCACGGUGUUUUCUCCAGCAGGUGGAGAUUAUGGAACCUACAUAUGGGUCUGGAAAAACUGUACACUGUUGUCACCUUGACCAUUAAAAACCAGAAUGAGGACAAUGGA